AUUGAACGCUGGCGGCAUGCUUUACACAUGCAAGUCGAACGGUAACAGGCCGCAAGGUGCUGACGAGUGGCGAACGGGUGAGUAAUGCAUCGGAACGUGCCCAGUCGUGAGGGAUAACGCAGCGAAAGCUGCGCUAAUACCGCAUACGAUCUAUGGAUGAAAGCGGGGGACCGUAAGGCCUCGCGCGAUUGGAGCGGCCGAUGUCAGAUUAGGUAGUUGGUGGGGUAAAGGCUCACCAAGCCAACGAUCUGUAGCUGGUCUGAGAGGACGACCAGCCACACAGGGACUGAGACACGGCCCAGACUCCUACGGGAGGCAGCAGUGGGGAAUUUUGGACAAUGGGCGCAAGCCUGAUCCAGCAAUGCCGCGUGCAGGAAGAAGGCCUUCGGGUUGUAAACUGCUUUUGUACGGAACGAAACGGCUCUGGUUAAUACCUGGGGCUAAUGACGGUACCGUAAGAAUAAGCACCGGCUAACUACGUGCCAGCAGCCGCCGUAA
rnacentral:rRNA from 1 species